rnacentral:rRNA from 1 species
AGUGUAUGCUUUUCCUAAAGACUAAGCCAUGCAUGUCUUCGAAUAAGAGGUGCAAUUCUCUCUGAAUCUGCGAACGGCUCCGAAAAACAGUUGUAAGAUCUAGCAGGUCCCGGCCGACACCAGGCCCCUCACGGGGUCGAGGACGGCCACCUUUAUAUAUGGAUAACCGUGGUAAUUCUGAGGCUAAUACACGAUCAACACUUUCUGCUGCUUGGGCCUUCAUUGGCCUGGGCGGUGGGGGGCUGUGCACCACAAGGCUAGGUUAAUCCGGAAAGAAUGCACGCGCCAGACCGCUGCAGACGGGGGUGUUGUGGCCUCACGGCCGCUUCGCCCCCCGGUGGCGCCUGGACAUCGCUUCUGACCUAUCAAUUAGACGGCAGCUUAUGGGACAUGCUAUGGUGGCAACGGGUACAGAGGAUAAGGGUUUGAUCCUGGAGAGUGGGCCUGAGAGAUUGCUCAUACUUCUAAGGAAGGCAGCAGGCGCGCAACGUUCCCCUUGGCCAAUGGCCGAGGGCGUUAGGGGACAUAUGAAUGGCUGCCUUAACGGUGGCCAAUUCAAAUGGGUCUGUUGUAAAUAGGCUCUCGAGUAACAAUUAGAGGACAAGUCUGGUGCCAGCACCCGCGGUAAUUCCAGCUCUAAUAGCAUACGUUAAAGUUGUUGCGGUUAAAACGCUCGUAGUCGGGAUAAGGUUACCAGAAGCUAGCGCUGGGAAGCUGGGUCUGUGCCCCUCGCGGGGCGCGCCAGAAGACUGGCAAAGGUGGGCGGUGGCCAAGCGUGUCUGGUGGUGUGCGGUCCUCGUGGCCGAUUACAAGGAUUGGCCUGGCUUCGGCUGGGUCAGCCCUGACUGCUGGGUGCCGAUUGCCGUGAUUAAACUGGCGUGCUCAAGGCAAGUCGAAAGGCUGCUGCACAGCUCAGCACGGCAUAAGCAUAGCUGGCCCUUACCCUCCAAGCGGGGCUGGGCUGGCGAAUACGCUGAAAGGGAUGUUCGGGGGUGACCGAAUUGCCGGGCGAGUGGUGAAAUACGUUGACCCUGGCAAGUCGACCAAAAGCGAAAGCAGUCAUCAAGGGCAUGCCCGUUGAUCAAGAGCGAAAGUUAAGGGUUCGAAGACGAUCAGAUACCGUCGUAGUCUUAACUAUAAAUGAUACUGGCCAGGGAUAGGGCAAUGUCCAUCUCGACUCCCCCCGGAUCUUUAGGAAACUAAAGCCUAUGAGUUCUGGGGGGAGUAUGGUCGCAAGGCUGAAACUUAAAGGAAUUGACGGAAGGGCACACAAAGAGUGGAACCUGCGGCUUAAUUUGACUCAACACGGGAAAACUCACCAGGUCAGGAUACACGGAUGAAGGACAAGCUGAUAGCCUUUUCUCAAUGAUGUAAGUGGUGGUGCAUGGUCGUUCUUAGUUCGUGGAGUGGUUUGUCUGGUCUAUUCCGAUAACGAGCGAGACCCCAACGUUCUAACUAGGGGUGGCAGCCCGGCUUGGUGUAGCCCCGCAAGGGGCCGUGCCUCGCUAGCAGCCGCUUUGCGUAGCAAUCUUCUUAGACGGAUCAGGGCCGAUAAGGUCCUUGAAAUGGGUUAAUAACAGGUCAGUCAUGCCCUUAGAUGUUCUGGGCCGCACGCGCGUUACAAUGGUACGCAAAACAAGUGUUCAUUAUAGAGUCUUCCCAGGGCCGACAGGGCUUGGUAAACCCUAAGGCCUACCCCGACUGGGAUAGACUAUUGCAAUUAUUGGUCUUUAACGAGGAAUUUUUAGUAGUCAUGGGUCAUUACCCCGUGGCGAAUGAGUCCCUGCCCUUUGUACACACCGCCCGUCGCUGCUACCGAUUGGGUUUUGCGGUUACGAGUUCAGAGGCUGGGGUAGCUGCUGCCUUAACUGGCGGUGGUAGCUUUGGCUGAAGUUCGAAUUACCGCACGGCCUAGAGGAAGCAGAAGUCGUAACAAGGUAUC